AGUGAACGCUGGCGGUAGGCCUAACACAUGCAAGUCGGACGGCAGCACAGUAAGAGCUUGCUCUUACGGGUGGCGAGUGGCGGACGGGUGAGGAAUACAUCGGAAUCUACUUUUUCGUGGGGGAUAACGUAGGGAAACUUACGCUAAUGCCGCAUACGACCUACGGGUGAAAGCAGGGGAUCUUCGGACCUUGCGCGAUUGAAUGAGCCGAUGUCGGAUUAGCUAGUUGGCGGGGUAAAGGCCCACCAAGGCGACGAUCCGUAGCUGGUCUGAGAGGAUGAUCAGCCACACUGGAACUGAGACACGGUCCAGACUCCUACGGGAGGCAGCAGUGGGGAAUAUUGGACAAAGGGCGCAAGCCUGAUCCAGCCAUACCGCGUGGGUGAAGAAGGCCUUCGGGUUGUAAAGCCCUUUUGUUGGGAAAGAAAAGCAGCAGGUUAAUACCCCGCUGUUCUGACGGUACCCAAAGAAUAAGCACCGGCUAACUUCGUG
rnacentral:rRNA from 1 species